ACCACAAAUAACAGCACGUCGAGGCAUCUGAAAGGCUGUCACCCGCUUGACUAUGAGCUCACCUACUUCCUGGAAGCCGCCCUCCAGAGCGCCUAUGUGAAAAACCUGAAGAAAGGGAACAUCGUGAAGGGCAUGAGAGAGCUCCGGGAGGUGCUGCGGACUGUGGAGACCAAAGCAACUCAGAACUUCAAAGUGAUGGCGGCCAAGCACCUGGCGGGGGUCCUGCUGCACUCCCUGAGUGAGGAGUGCUACUGGAGCCCCCUGUCCCACCCUCUGCCUGAGUUCAUGGGCAAGGAGGAGAGUUCUUUCGCCACUCAGGCCCUGCGGAAACCUCACCUCUAUGAAGGAGACAACCUCUACUGCCCCAAGGACAACAUCGAGGAAGCCCUCCUGCUCCUCCUCAUCAGCGAAUCCAUGGCAACUCGAGAUGUGGUGCUGAGCCGGGUGCCGGAGCAGGAGGAGGACCGGACAGUGAGCUUGCAGAAUGCCG
rnacentral:sRNA from 1 species